UCGCAAAGAUGUAAAAAUAUCAUUCCUCUAUGUUCAUAUACCCUCAUGUUAUUUUACAGGCCGGUCACACAGCUCGCUGCCCCUAAAAUCCCUGAGGGGGAGAGGGUUGACUUUGAUGACAUCCACAGGAAAAGGAUGGAGAAAGAUCUUCUGGAGCUGCAGACUCUGAUUGACGUCCAUUUUGAGCAGAGGAAGAAAGAGGAGGAGGAGCUGAUUGGACUCAAAGACAGGAUUGAAAGCCGCCGGGCAGAAAGAGCUGAGCAGCAGCGUGUGAGGGCUGAAAAAGAACGGGACAGACAGACACGCAUUGCGGAGGAGAGACAGAGAAAAGAAGACGAAGAGGCGAAGAAGAGGGCCGAUGAUGAGGCCAAGAAGAAGAAAGUGCUCUCCAACAUGGGGGCUCACUUUGGAGGCUUCCUGGCUAAGGCAGAGCAGAGGCGAGGCAAAAAGCAAACUGCGAGGGAAAUCAAGAAGAAGACUCUGGCAGAGAGACGCAAGCCAUUGGCCAUUGAGACCCUGAGAGAGGACGGCCUGAGGAAGUAAACCUCAAGACAAAGUUUUUUUUACCUACGUUCUAAAGCCCAGUUCAGACCAAAGAUUUGCGAUGAGUUGAGUUGAAACAGGUGACUACUUGCAAUGUGCCGCUGUCCAUUCUAAAAACCUGCCAGUUCACACCAAUGCAACUCGAUGAGAUGGUGUAUCAUCUCUGUGCAACAACUCUCUGUACCACCGUUCUGAUUUCCAGCUUUUCAGGCGUAUUUUGUGGCUUAAUAUAAUUUGUAAUCUCUUCAAAUAUGAAUGAGGAUAGUGACAGUGAGACACGGGCUACAGUUGCAUUUGUAGAAGUGAUGAAACGGCAUGUGUCUUAGAAUAACAUGUAUACAUUUUGAAAAAGGGUGUAGUUCCCCUUUCAGACUUUAGGUGGGGUAUUUUUCUGUCACCUCAAGUUGUCAAUGCUGCUGUGUUUUUAGAGAGAGAGCCAAGGAGAUGUGGGAAUGUAUCUACGAGCUGGAGUCAGAGAAAUUUGACCUGACUGAGAAAAUGAGGAGACAGAAGUAUGAGAUCAAUGUUCUCCUGAACAGAAUCACACAUGCUCAGAAAUU